rnacentral:lncRNA from 1 species
ACUUCAAGUUGAAAUAUGGGAGGUAUUUGAUAUUGCUCAUGCAAUAUGAUUAUGUUAUGCUCUGUCAACUCUGAUUUGAAGCCCAGCGGAGCAAAGUCAGGCUCCAUGGUGGCCAUCUCUAUCUCUCUCUCUCUCAUAUCAUGUGGGAAAGCCGUGAAAGGGUGAAGAAUAGAAGAACUCACAGUAGAAGGAGAAAAUAACUAGAACUUGAUGAGGU